rnacentral:rRNA from 1 species
GGAAUAUUGGACAAUGGGCGCAAGCCUGAUCCAGCAACGCCGCGUGGAGGACGAAGGUCUUCGGAUCGUAAACUCCUGUCAGACGGGACGAAGGUGUCAGGGUAAAUAAUCCUGGCACUUGACGGUACUGUCAGAGGAAGCCCCGGCUAACUCCGGGCCAGCAGCCGCGGUAAUACGGAGGGGGCGAGCGUUAUUCGGAAUUAUUGGGCGUAAAGGGCGCGUAGGCGGCUUGGCAAGCCAAAGGUGAAAUCCCUCGGCUCAACUGAGGAACUGCCUUUGAAACUGCCUGGCUUGAGGCCGGGAGGGGGUAGCGGAAUUCCCAGUGUAGCGGUGAAAUGCGUAGAUAUUGGGAGGAACACCAGUGGCGAAGGCGGCUACCUGGACCGGUUCUGACGCUGAUGCGCGAAAGCGUGGGUAGCAAA